rnacentral:rRNA from 1 species
AGACCCGAAACCCGGUGAUCUAGCCAUGGGCAGGUUGAAGGUUGGGUAACACUAACUGGAGGACCGAACCGACUAAUGUUGAAAAAUUAGCGGAUGACCUGUGGCUGGGGGUGAAAGGCCAAUCAAACCGGGAGAUAGCUGGUUCUCCCCGAAAGCUAUUUAGGUAGCGCCUCGUGAAUUCAUCUCCGGGGGUAGAGCACUGUUUCGGCUAGGGGGCCAUCCCGGCUUACCAACCCGAUGCAAACUGCGAAUACCGGAGAAUGUUAUCACGGGAGACACACGGCGGGUGCUAACGUCCGUCGUGAAGAGGGAAACAACCCAGACCGCCAGCUAAGGUCCCAAAGUCAUGGUUAAGUGGGAAACGAUGUGGGAAGGCCCAGACAGCCAGGAUGUUGGCUUAGAAGCAGCCAUCAUUUAAAGAAAGCGUAAUAGCUCACUGGUCGAGUCGGCCUGCGCGGAAGAUGUAACGGGGCUAAACCAUGCACCGAAGCUGCGGCAGCGACACUCAGGUGUUGUUGGGUAGGGGAGCGUUCUGUAAGCCUGCGAAGGUGGCCUGUGAGGGUUGCUGGAGGUAUCAGAAGUGCGAAUGCUGACAUAAGUAACGAUAAAGCGGGUGAAAAGCCCGCUCGCCGGAAGACCAAGGGUUCCUGUCCAACGUUAAUCGGGGCAGGGUGAGUCGACCCCUAAGGCGAGGCCGAAAGGCGUAGUCGAUGGGAAACGGGUUAAUAUUCCCGUACUUGGUGUUACUGCGAAGGGGGGACGGAGAAGGC